CACUUCCUGAUGUGGGAUCUCCAACUCAGCAAGGAGACAAAUCUUACAAGCCAGAAAUACACUAGACUUCAUGCUAUCUACUGUACUAUUCAUGUAAAGACUAU